AGUCAUCAGCUCACAGACUGUGACAGCUGAGGUCAAGAACAAGAAAGAAGUGAGACAGAGAAGAACAAUGGAUGGACUCAGACUGAUUAAAAUGUUUUUAUGUCUGAUGCUGAUGAUUCAGAUUGCAGAAUUCUCAACAGUAUCUGUAAGUGAAACCACCAUUUUUAUGGAAGUUGGAGAUGACGUCACUCUGCCUUGUCUAAAUGUGAUAGAUGACCAGAGAAACUGCGAUGGUACUACGUGGACCUUUGCUUCAAGAAACAGAACACCAAUAGAAGUGAUCAGCUUUGGACAGAUUGGUGAAAAAGCCAAAAAUGCAUCAGACAGACUGAGUGUUACAGCGAACUGUUCUCUGGUUAUAAAGACUCUCACAGUCGAGGAUGUAGGUUUUUACUACUGUAAACAAUACAAAUUGGAAAACCACAGACACAAAAGUCUGGUUAGCGAGUCUUUGGUUGAUCUCUCUGUACUCACCUUGACUGAACAUGAGGACAAUGAUAAGGUGACAAUAAAUUGCUCUGUGGUGACAUAUGAAAUGUGUCAUCACACAGUGAAGUGCCUGUUUAAAGGUCGAGCUGUGGACAGAGAUAACAGUCAAAUAGUGACUUUACAGACUGGCUGCUCCACCACUGUCUCUUUGCUCAAGUCUCACCAUGUUUACUCAUCAAGAGAUUACCUUUUGGACUGCGAAGUGAAUGAUACUUAUACAGAAGGGAAGCUGUUUACCUUCAGACCUCAGCUAUCAGGUGACAGACAAAGGACAAAUAAUCCAACCAGAAAUCCAGCAGGCUACAGUCAGUCCAAUACCCAAGAGUCAACUUUAGCAGCAUUAACGUGAAGUAAUAGUCUUCUGUGACUUUAUCAGUCCAUCAUAAUAGAAGAGGUUUUCUCCUGGCAGCCCUUCCAAAGAAACCAUUCUUGCUUAGUCUUGACUUUUUGAUAUGACUUUGGUGGGAAUCAGCUGGGACCAAUGCUGGUAAGGUUGUUGCUUUAUGUUAACACCUACCUGAGAAGAAACUGUCAAAGUUUCUUCUUUUAUAGAAAUGCCCACUCUUGAUGAUCAGUUAAGUCCAUUUGAUUAGCAGCAUCUGACUCCAAGUUGCUCUCUUAAUUCCUAUGGAACAAUUUAGGAUGUACUUAGUUUGUGCUUAGGACCUUAUGCAUGAUGUAUUUAUUUUAUUUUUAUUUUACAUAUUUUAAAGUAUGUGUUCAAACUGAUUUAAAUAAAAG
ensembl:lncRNA